CGGACGGGUGAGUAAUGUCUGGGAAACUGCCUGAUGAGGGGGAUAACUACUGGAAACGGUAGCUAAUACCGCAUAACGUCGCAAGACCAAAGAGGGGGACCUUGGGCCUCUUGCCAUCGGAUGUGCCCAGAUGGGAUUAGCUAGUAGGUGGGGUAAAGGCUCACCUAGGCGACGAUCCCUAGCUGGUCUGAGAGGAUGACCAGCCACACUGGAACUGAGACACGGUCCAG
rnacentral:rRNA from 1 species